CACCGAUCGUCCUUACAUAUCUUCAAAGCAAACGAAAGCACUGGACCCUAUAUGUAACUAUGAUGUGAUUUCAGCCACUGUUGCAAGAGAACGGGUGAUUGGUGAGUGCUGGAAAAAUCACUCAAAGGAGAAAUGGGCCAACAAGGACACUUUGCGAGCAGCCUUCAAGAACAUUUGGAUGAACAGGAGGGAUGGCCAUAGCCGCAGCAUCACCGGGAAGAAAGAAGAACACAGGCGAGCAGCCAGGAGGAACAGCAAAACUGAAGUCCCGUCAGAACUCACUGGACCAGUGCCCCAAGCCAGCAGCCUGGAAGGAACGCGUACAAGAUGUCCUCACCCGGGAGUGUACCUCUCCAGAUGUAAGCGAUGAUGAGCAGCCUGGGAUGAGGUGGGUCCUUGAAAUGCAGUGGGAGUCAUAAAGAAGUAUUUAGAUGAACGAACCGAGGCUGCUCUGAAGCAUGUGAAAAGACCACCCAAGGCCAAGCUGGAAUACGACCCGACGAGGAGAUGUGAGGAGCCCAUGCCGAAGAAGUUGCCGUCUUGGGCCAUUCGAUCCACGCACAGGAGAGAUGGUAUAUGCCACACACUCUUUUUCAGACUUGUGGGACCAAAAAAAGUAAAUUUUAAUAUUCACAUUUGGAAUAAUAAAAUCGUGACCUUUCAUUUUGAGACCAACCAUUUUAUAUUCUUGGGGUGGAGCUGGGAUUUUGUGUGACAACUACACAUCUUUUUCAGCUGAAGCUGCAAAACCAGAUAUUUUUUACUGAAAAACACCUAGCAACAAUGUAACUUUUGUGGCAGAACAUUCCCUUUUUUCAACAGUCUGGAGUCAAUACUUUUUCCAUAAAAUCCGACACCCACACCUCUUGAAUAUCAAAAAGUCGGUCCCAAACAGACGUAUGUUAACUUCAGUUUAAUUUGAUCGACAUUUUUCUUUGGAAAUGAAAGCAAUGAAUGUGGCAAUAUUGCAGAUAUCUUGAGAGGGGAACUACAGUUACAGAUUUCUUGCAUUGUACUUGUGUGAGCCCAGCUUAUGUCAUCUUUUCAUCGGAGUAUCAAAAUGAGCUUUCAAUGUGGAGGUUGUGGUAUUUCCAGCUAAGGUUUGCUCGAGUCCUGCCCCAGUCAGCCAACACCCAACAGGACAAGUGAACAGUAGGUUAGACCGAGAUGCAAGGAUCGAGAGACUGAAGCAGCAGCUUGCUACUGGCAGAAGAUCAGUGAUCCAGUUUCUGGAUGCAGUUGGACAUCUCAUCAAAUUACAGUAAUAUUGCUAGUAAUGAUGUAGUGCUAAUGUUAUAAAACAUGAA